UACGAACUGUGCGAACGUUAUUCGGAAUCACUGGGCUUACAGGGUGCGUAGGCGGCUUGUUAAGUAGGGUGUGAAAGCCCCCGGCUCAACCGGGGAAUUGCGCCCUAAACUGCAAGGCUGGAGUGAGGUAGGGGUGUGUGGAACUUCCAGUGGAGCGGUGAAAUGUGUUGAUAUUGGAAGGAACGCCGGUGGCGAAAGCGACACACUGGACCUUGUCUGACGCUGAGGCACGAAAGCCAGGGGAGCAAACGGG
rnacentral:rRNA from 1 species